AUGAUGAUACCAAACACGAAUCUGCACAGUGCACUCGGCGGGAUGCAUCAACACAGCACCUGGCGGGAGGCAACAACACAGCACCCGGCGAGAGGCAACAACACAGCACCCGGCGAGAGGCAACAACACAGCACCCGGCAAGAGGCAACAACACAAUACCAGGCGAGAGGCAACAACACAGCACCCGGCGAGAGGCAACAACACAGCACCCGGCGUGGCGAGAGGCAACAACACAGCACCCGGCGCAGCGAGAGGCAACAACACAGUACCCGGCACAGCGAGAAGCAGCAACACAGCACCCGAAACACAGACCUUAUAUUAAGUGUUUCUAAAAUCCCCUAUGGGGAAAAAAAAUGGUGGAAAAAUAAUUUCCCUGUUUGACCUCCAGGUUUUAUGGGUAUUAUGACUCAUACCGUCAUACUCUAUUGGAUCACACAUCAUAAAUGAUCAAAGUGUUGGUGGUAUGGAUAGGAGAGUGGAUACCUCAUUUUGUUGCAGUAUUUUCCUCAGACAUCUUCUUGCACAGACAGAAAACACACCUAUGAGAGAACACGUCAGCCAAUAAAACUCCAGACUCCAGACACCCAGUCUUCAACCAGGUUUCUCAAUACACCCAGUCUACAUGUAAACGCAGACGCAUUUGUCAUUCGACAUGUUUGGGUCUUCAGGUGCUAUUCACCUUUCAGUGUUCAACAUAUGCUGAGCCAAACCCUAAAUGAAGAUACUGUAUGUUCAGUAUUCCAUCAGCAAGCAGCACUCCAACACACCAUGACAGACAGGCCAGCACCAAUCAUCCAAUUACGGAGACCAUUUCUUAAUCCUACACAACAGUGUGCCGGGCCGGCAACGUGACUCAAAUCGAUGUUAUUGGCUAAAUAAAAUAAAUAUAUAUAUAUCACAGGGUUAUAGAUAUUAACUGGGAGAUUCUGACACUGGGGGUGUGUGUGAGAGAGAGAUGAAAAGAGAGACAAGAGAGAGAGAGCUAAAGGGGCCUCCAGUAACAGUACCAUAUAUGGUUGACAUUAAAAGCAGGACAGUACGGCGGUCAGAUAUGACUGAGUCUCACUGAGCU
rnacentral:lncRNA from 13 species